UUGUUAAUGCUAAUCGUGAUAGGGGUUUUUACCUCUGAAUGACUCCUACAUGUUAGCAUUAACAC
rnacentral:pre_miRNA from 7 species